rnacentral:rRNA from 1 species
GACGUAGGGGGCCAGCGUUGUUCGGAAUUACUGGGCGUAAAGGGUUCGUAGGCGGUGCGGCAAGUUGGGUGUGAAAUCUCUGGGCUUAACCCAGAGGCUGCUUCCAAAACUGCUGUGCUUGAGUGUGGGAGAGGCGCGUGGAAUUGCAGGUGUAGCGGUGAAAUGCGUAGAUAUCUGCAGGAACACCCGUGGCGAAAGCGGCGCGCUGGACCACUACUGACGCUGAGGAACGAAAGCUAGGGGAGCAAACAGG